GGACGUAAAAGUCGUAACAAGGUUUCCGUAGGUGAACCUGCGGAAGGAUCAUUCAUAAUAAGUGUUUUACUGCACUUUUUAAAAAUAGUACUCACCUUGUGUGCAAUGUUGUGUUUCUCUUCGGAGAAACACCUACACCAACCUAUAACCUUGAACCACUUUGUCUGAAAAACUAUUAUGAAUACUUAAUUCAAAAUACAACUUUCAACAACGGAUCUCUUGGCUCUC
rnacentral:misc_RNA from 1 species